rnacentral:rRNA from 1 species
ACACGCUGGCGGCGUGCCUGACACAUGCAAGUCGGACGGUUCUGUAUCUUCAAGCUUGCUUGCAGGUGCAAGGAUAGUGGCGACGGGUGAGUAACGCGUGAACAUCUACCCAUUGGAGGGGGACAACCCGUCGAAAGGCGGGCUAAUACCGCGUAAGCCGCGAGGUGAGAGGCUGCCUAUUGGUGGCCGCCGAUGGAUGGGUUCGCGUCCUAUCAGCUGGUUGGUGGGGUAACGGCCUACCAAGGCGAAGACGGGUAGCCGGUCUGAGAGGAUGGCCGGCCACACUGGAACUGAGACACGGUCCAGACUCCUACGGGAGGCAGCAGUGGGGAAUAUUGGGCAAUGGGGGAGACCCUGACCCAGCGACGCCGCGUGAGGGAUGAAGGUUUUCGGAUCGUAAACCUCUGUUGUACGGGAAGAAGGAUGUGACGGUACCGUACGAGAAAGCCCCGGCAAACUACGUG